GGCUCAAUGGUCUAGUCGUAUGAUUCCUGCUUUGGGUUUUCCAGCCUAUUCUGCAGGAGGUCCCGGGUUCAAAUCCCGGUUGAGCCC
rfam:Cochliobolus sativus ND90Pr unplaced genomic scaffold COCSAscaffold_2, whole genome shotgun sequence.